rnacentral:rRNA from 1 species
AGAGUUUGAUCAUGGCUCAGAACGAACGCUGGCGGCGUGCUUAACACAUGCGAGUCGAACGCGAAAAGGGACUUCGGGCCCCGAGUAGAGUGGCGCACGGGUGAGUAACGCGUAAGUAAUCUACCCCUGUAUCUGGAAUAACCCACCGAAAGGUGAGCUAAUACCGGAUACGUUUAUCUUGAUGCGAAUGAUGAUAAAGAAAGGUGGCCUCUUCAUGAAAGCUACUGUACAGGGACGAGCUUGCGUACCAUUAGCUAGUUGGUAGGGUAAUGGCCUACCAAGGCGACGAUGGGUAGCUGGUCUGAGAGGAUGAUCAGCCACACUGGAACUGAAACACGGUCCAGACUCCUACGGGAGGCAGCAGUGGGGAAUAUUGCGCAAUGGGGGAAACCCUGACGCAGCGACGCCGUGUGAGGGAAGAAGGCUUUCGGGUCGUAAACCUCUGUCGGGAGGGAAGAACCUUCCAGGUCUGAACAAGGGCUUGGAACUGACGGUACCUCCAAAGGAAGCACCGGCUAACUCCGUGCCAGCCGCCGCGGUAAUA